GUGGGGAAUAUUGGGCAAUGGGCGAAAGCCUGACCCAGCCACGCCGCGUGAGUGAUGAAGGCCUUCGGGUUGUAAAGCUCUGUGGGGAGGGAAGAAAAAGCGGGAGAGUAACUGCUCUCGUGUUGACGGUACCUCCUUAGCAAGCACCGGCUAACUCUGUGCCAGCAGCCGCGGUAAUACAGAGGGUGCAAACGUUGCUCGGAAUUACUGGGCGUAAAGCGCGUGUAGGCUGACAUGCAAGUCGGGUGUGAAAUCCCAGGGCUCAACCUUGGAACUGCACUCGAAACUGCACGUCUUGAGUACUGGAGAGGGAAGCGGAAUUCCGGGUGUAGAGGUGAAAUUCGUAGAUAUCCGGAGGAACACCAGUGGCGAAGGCGGCUUCCUGGACAGUAACUGACGCUGAGACGCGAAAGCGUGGGGAGCAAACAGGAUUAGAUACCCUAGUAGUCC
rnacentral:rRNA from 1 species